rnacentral:rRNA from 1 species
UACGGAGGGAGCUAGCGUUGUUCGGAAUUACUGGGCGUAAAGCGCGCGUAGGCGGCUUUGUAAGUUAGAGGUGAAAGCCCGGGGCUCAACCCCGGAACAGCCUUUAAGACUGCAUCGCUAGAAUCCGGGAGAGGUGAGUGGAAUUCCGAGUGUAGAGGUGAAAUUCGUAGAUAUUCGGAAGAACACCAGUGGCGAAGGCGGCUCACUGGACCGGCAUUGACGCUGAGG